AACACAGAGACGAACUUAUGUGGGAGACACAGUGGGGCCGUUAGUCUCGAGCUUCCUUGCCUUCCUCCUCUGACUUCCCCCUCCUAGCGACGGUCACGAGGACGGCUUUGAGUAACUGCGCAGGAAAUGUUGGUGGAGCAGAUAAUGUAAUCAGCACCCGACGGCCCACUCCUUAGAGGUACCCUGGGCUCAGCAAGCGUGUUAGGGAUUCAGGGACCCCCUCUCCCCCUCUUGCCCCCGGGGUGUGACCAGCGAUGCCUGUACCUGCGCGUUGGAGGCCAGCAUAAAACAAAAUUGAAGAGAACACAACUAUUUGCACACAUCUAUUUGCUUGGGCGCGUCCCCAGAAAGGCCAGUUCCUUCCUCAGAAUUGCCCUGGGUUAUCAUGCUUGAAGACCUUUGGAGGUCCCAGCUGCUAAAAGUUCCUGCAACUAGUUCCUGGGGAGACUGUCAGCAUGGAGAAGCCAUUUUUCACUUCUGUCUCCAUAAGCAACGUCUCAUCCGUGAAGGCCUGGGGGAGGAGAGCUUGACCCCUUCGGAACUGGUGAGUGUGGAUGAACUGCCCACCUCUGUUCGCCUUCAUUUCCUUACCUGAACAAUGUGCAAACGGCAUAUGCCUUCGUGGGGCCACUGUGGAGACCGGGCCCCCUCCUCGGGCCUCUGCCUGGGCUUUACCCCCAGGCCCGGCCUUCUCAUCCUCCGGCCUCAGCUCCGCCCCACGCUUUGUAAUAAAAAUACUUUCCAUUCACGUAUUGCUUGGUACCGCGUGCCUCGUGUCAUUUGAUUGUCAGUAACUAUUUUAUUGUAUUUUUUUUGAAGGUUUAUGUAUUUGUUUUUGAGAAGCAGAGAGAGAGAGAGAGAGAGACAGAGAGCGAGCAGGGAAGAGGCAGAGAGAGAGGGAGAGAGAAUCCCAGAGAGCAAGCAGGGAAGAGGCAGAGAGAGAGGGAGAGAGAAUCCCAAGCAGGCACCAUGCGGUCAGCGCAGGGCCCGACAUGGGGCUCGAACUCAAGAACCGUGAGAUGGUGACCUGAGCCGAAACCAAGAGUCAGGUGCUUCACCGACCGAGCCAGCCAGGCGCCCCUGUCAGUAACAGUGUUUUUAAACAGAGAAGGAAGGUGAGUCCCCAGGAGAUGUAACUUCCGGGAGACAGAUUAGGGUGCGGAAGAGAUCUCAGUAUCCCUGGCCAUCCAUCCCGAGCUCUGGGUGCCAUCCCGAGCCCUGAGAUACUGUGGGUGGGGGCGGGGCACGCCCUGAGGACCGGGGCCCGUCUCCAGCCCCUCGGGCUCUAGGGGGACAAAGAG